GAUCUUGAAUCUGAUACCGUGAGAAAUCACCUUACAGCGCUUGCUGAAUCUUUGAAUAAAUCAAGGUCCACGAUAUAUCCUCCCCUUAACAAAGCAUCAAAAAUCGAAGUUACUUUGCCUGGUUUAGCUGAGCUUGUGGAGAAGGAACAUAAGAAGCUUCUUGCUCGUAAAACAAUCAUUGAACAGCGCAAAUAGGAACAAGAACGCCAGCUUUUAGAGAAGGAACGUGAGGAAGAGUCGAAGAGAUUACAGCUACAAAAAGUAAUGUGGAAGAUGAACAGAAAAGGCUUGCUUCUGAACUUGAGAAGAGGAAAAUUCAGUGCAUCCAAAAGGAAAUGGAAGAACGUGAGAUUGAAGAAGCCAAAUCCCUACUUCAGGAAAAGUUCUCCAAAAUAAGAAGAAACCACUUAUAGAAGGGGAUAAGUUGACAAAGCAAGCAUUGAUGGAGUUGGCUCUCAACGAGCAGCUGAGGGAGAAACAAGAAAUGGAGAAAAAACUACAGACGUUGAGCAAGCAAAUGGAUUAUCUUGAGAGAGCUAAGAGAGAGGAGGCAGCUC